ACCCCAUUGUGAAUUACCUAAGUAGACACUUUUACAAGAUAGCAUUAUUUUUUAAUGCAGAUGAUCCAAGUUUUAUUAAAGUUUACAUACUUAAGCAUAAAUAAAUUAACAGAUUUGUAGCACCAAUAAUGGUGGCAUGAUGGUACACCUGGAGGUAACAUUAUCAAGAGCUUUUGUUGAAACCUUUCAUUUUCAAUCAGGUGCUGAUUUUUUUCCACCCAAGUCUUCAAUUAUUACUGUUCUAACACUGCAAAAACCAUUCAAGCAUAAAAAAGCAUGCAAGAGGCAGUAAAAUAAGCCCAAAUAAUUGAGAAUUGAACAAGAAAACAAAAUAAUUUACUCUUAAAAUGACAAAAGUAAAAUUAAGACAACCUCUAAACCAGGGGUCUGGUGAACUUGGAUGGGAAAAAUUUUAAAUCUUUCUUUUCACCAACUUCUAACUGAAAUAUAACAUUUCCUUCAAUUACGAAUAUAGGAAACAGUCCACAGUAGGAUCAGAGUACCUGUGACUUUGUCACCAAUAGAAAUGAGACAUUUAGAUAUAUUACAGUUGUUAGAUAUUUCAAGAUAUGAAUUUGAAUUAUAGUAAUUUUAGAACCACCAUGCAGUCUUAUUUUGUGUUAACAGAAUAUGUAUGUUACUGGAUCAUAAAACUUUGAAAAUAUCAACUUUAUUUUAACAUGAUCAGUUUCCUUUGCGAUCCUUUAUAUUUAGUUUUAUGCUUUGAAAACAUUACUAUGAGAGGGGGUCCACAGGCUUCACUGGAUCACUAAAAAGCUCAAUGGCACAAAAAAGUUUGAAACAAAUAAGUCAUUAAUAUCACAGGAAGAGAGUACUUAAUAGUGAAAUAGGGUGGGUGCAGUGGCUCAUGCCUGCAAUCCAAACACUUUGGGAGGCUGAGGCGGGCAGAUUACCUGAGGCCAGGAGUUCGAGACCAGCCUGGGCAACAUGGCAAAACCCCAUCUUUACUAGAAAUACAAAAAUUAGCCAAGCAUGGUGGCACGCGCCUGUAGUACCAGCUACUUGGGAGGCUGAGGCACGAGAAUCGCUUGAACCUGGGAGCUGUGGAGGUUGCAGUGAGUCAAGAUUGUACCAGUGCACUCCAGCCUGAGUAACAGUGUGAGACUCUGUCUCAAAAAAAAAAAAAGUGAAAUAUAUGAAGCUGACUUCAACAGUAACAGAUUUCAGAAAAGGUCUAAAAACUGUGCUCCAGAAUUUAAUUACCACAAGGAGUUAGAAAAUCCACACUACCAUCCAGCUUCCUAAACAGAAGACUAAAUUUCCCGCUAUCCCUGUCUUUACCACUGUACUCACCCCCACCCUAGACUCUAGUGUAGAACAAGUAGUCAAGGAAAGAGAGAUUAAAAUGGUCACUCAUGCAGAUGAUACCCAAAUGCAAACAUGACACGCUUAGCAACUGGAAACCUGGUGGGAGGGGCGCAAGGGAAGAGAGAUUAAAAUGGUUACUCAUGCUGAUGAUACUCAAAUGCAAACAUCAGUCUGGCUUAAUUAUGCUAAAAAAGAGGAGACAAAUAUUUGAGUGCCUGCUAAAUAUCAAGAAUGUCUUGGUAUUUUCACAUAUAAGGAAUUCUCUCAACAAGAGGGGAGAUAUUUGUCUAAACUUGGAUCAAUACUUUCAAGAGAAAUGAAGGUAUCUCAGGCACUUCUCAUUCAGGAAGCGAAGAGAAAUGAAACCAAGGGAAGGUGGAGAAUAUAGGACAACUGUACAGUUGCUUUAAAAAAAAAAAAAAAGAUGGGAUUCUCAUUAUAUUGCCCAGGAUGGUGUUGAACUCCUGGCCCCAAGUGAUCUAGAUAAUUCUUUGUUUUGUUUUUAUAAGGGAGGGUCUUUUCUAACAGUGGGCUCUUUGAUUCCUGUGAGACAGCAGCAUUUUGUGUUUCUCUGUUUGCUUCAUUGGAUGCAUUACAAUUAAACCUGUGCCUGACUAAGGAAACUAAGUAUGCACUAAUGAUGGGAGACGAAACAACAGGGCUUUUUAUUUUUUUUUAAUGGUAACUCCUAUCCACUACCCAUGUUUUAUAUAGUCCCCAUGUUUGUUUGUAUUUUUUUGUACAGAGAGGGUCUUGCUAUGUUGCCCAGGUUGGUCUCGAACUCCUGACCUCAAGUGAUCCUCCUGCUUUGGCCUCCCAAAGUGCUGGGAUUACAGGCGUGAGCCACUGUGCCUGGCUGAGUCCCCACGUUUUAUCCCAUGUUUUCUAACAAAAAGAAGAAAGAAACAAUGACUGCUUGACAAUGACGGCUAAUUCCUCCUUUCUUCCCCAUCUGGAUGUGUUCACAACUUUCUAUCAUCCAAAUCUAGACAAACUAAAAAUAAAAACCUACACUUUGUGACCAAAGUCUUCCUUGAUUAGCUGUUAACUGCUUUUCAUUUGGACUCAGGAAGGCUAAAGACUAGGCCAUAGGAGGAGUGACUAACUUAUUCUUUAGUCAAACAGCACUGAUGCAGUUGUCAGCAAUGCCCCUGUGACUGAGGAAAGUAUUGUUUUACAAAGUUUUUAAUAUUUUAUGGCAUAAUAACAGUGAAUCAUAUUAGAAUUCUGGUGUAGGCUGGGCACAGUCACUCACGCCUGUAAUCCCAGCACUUUGGAAGGCCUAAGUGGGUGGAUCACCUGAGGUCAGGAGUUCGAGACCAGCCUGGCCAACCUGGUGAAACCCCGUCUCUACUAAAAAUACAAAAUUAUCCAGGUGUGGUGGCGCAUGCCUGUAAUCCCAGCUACUCGGGAGGCUGAGGCAGGAGAAUCGCUUGAACCUCAGAGGUGGAGGUUGUAGUGAGCCAAGAUCAUACCAUUGCACUCCAGCCUCAGCAACAAGAGCAAAAUUCCAUCUCAAAAGAUUCUGGUGUAUUAUUAUUAUGACCUGAUAUCAUUCUAAUAUUAAGCUCUGUAUUAUUGCAGGUAAAAAUAAAACGAGUUUUUGCCAAGUAAAAUUUAUACUUAAUUCUGUAUCACAAGAGUCUAAUUUUUAGUGUUAAAAUGAAGUUUUCUCUGAAAAUAUGUUUACCUUAUACUUGAUAUGCUAUCUAACAGAGAAAAAUAGUUCUUUGGAAACACUCAUCAAACAAAAACCUAUAGCCUGUGCAAAAUAACAUCAAAUGUACUGCUGAGAGAUCAGUUUUGCAUCAAAAUGGUCCCUGACCAUCACAUUAUAAAGCAAUAGCAAUAAACACAGAACAUUUCAUAAUUCUUAUCUAGGUUGGGCAGGAAUAGGAGGGAAGGUCUAGAAAAAUCAGAUACUCAAAUUUCAGCACAUAAUUAUUCAAAUAAAAUUUUAAUGAUUUCAGUUCCUGAAAAUGUAGUGUCAUUAAAGGUCAUUUCCUGCUAAAU
rnacentral:lncRNA from 1 species